rnacentral:rRNA from 1 species
UGGGGAAUCUUGCACAAUGGGCGAAAGCCUGAUGCAGCGACGCCGCGUGCGGGAUGAAGGCCUUCGGGUUGUAAACCGCUUUCAGCAGGGACGAGGCCGCAAGGUGACGGUACCUGCAGAAGAAGCCCCGGCUAACUACGUGCCAGCAGCCGCGGUAAUACGUAGGUGGCAAGCGUUGUCCGGAAUUAUUGGGCGUAAAGGGCGUGCAGGCGGCCAGGCAAGUCUGUCUUAAAAGUGCGGGGCUUAACCCCGUGAUGGGAUGGAAACUGUCAGGCUAGAGUGUCGGAGAGGAAAGCGGAAUUCCUAGUGUAGCGGUGAAAUGCGUAGAUAUUAGGAGGAACACCAGUGGCGAAAGCGGCUUUCUGGACGACAACUGACGCUGAGGCGCGAAAGCCAGGGGAGCAAACGGGAUUAGAUACCCCGGUAGUCCUGGCCGUAAACGAUGGGUACUAGGUGUAGGAGGUAUCGACCCCUUCUGCGCCGGAGUUAACGCAAUAAGUAUCCCGCCUGGGGAGUACGGCCGCAAGGCUG